rnacentral:rRNA from 1 species
UAAUACAUGCAAGUCGAGCGGACUUGAUGAGAAGCUUGCUUCUCUGAUGGUUAGCGGCGGACGGGUGAGUAACACGUAGGCAACCUGCCCUCAAGUUUGGGACAACUACCGGAAACGGUAGCUAAUACCGAAUAAUUGUUUUCUUCGCCUGAAGGAAACUGGAAAGACGGAGCAAUCUGUCACUUGGGGAUGGGCCUGCGGCGCAUUAGCUAGUUGGUGGGGUAACGGCUCACCAAGGCGACGAUGCGUAGCCGACCUGAGAGGGUGAUCGGCCACACUGGGACUGAGACACGGCCCAGACUCCUACGGGAGGCAGCAGUAGGGAAUCUUCCGCAAUGGGCGAAAGCCUGACGGAGCAAUGCCGCGUGAGUGAUGAAGGUUUUCGGAUCGUAAAGCUCUGUUGCCAGGGAAGAACGCUUGGGAGAGUAACUGCUCUCAAGGUGACGGUACCUGAGAAGAAAGCCCCGGCUAACUACGUGCCAGCAGCCGCGGUAAUACGUAGGGGGCAAGCGUUGUCCGGAAUUAUUGGGCGUAAAGCGCGCGCAGGCGGUCAUUUAAGUCUGGUGUUUAAUCCCGGGGCUCAACCCCGGAUCGCACUGGAAACUGGGUGACUUGAGUGCAGAAGAGGAGAGUGGAAUUCCNCGUGUAGCGGUGAAAUGCGUAGAUAUGUGGAGGAACACCAGUGGCGAAGGCGACUCUCUGGGCUGUAACUGACGCUGAGGCGCGAAAGCGUGGGGAGCAAACAGGAUUACAUACCCUGGUA